rnacentral:rRNA from 1 species
UACGUAGGGUGCAAGCGUUGUCCGGAAUUAUUGGGCGUAAAGAGCUCGUAGGCGGUUUGUUGCGUCGGCUGUGAAAUCCCGAGGCUCAACCUCGGGUCUGCAGUCGAUACGAGCAAACUAGAGUGUUGCAGGGGAGACUGGAAUUCCUGGUGUAGCGGUGAAAUGCGCAGAUAUCAGGAGGAACACCGGUGGCGAAGGCGGGUCUCUGGGCAACAACUGACGCUGAGGAGCGAAAGUGUGGGGAGCGAACAGG